ensembl:lncRNA
GUCCUCCAAGUCGACUGGACUCCGGAGGAAGUCUUCAGUCGCUCACUGAAGCUGCCAGACGCGUUUUAUAAUCCCACGUUUCAGCCUCGAGUUUGGGGCGAUUUGGAAGUGACCGUAUUUGGAUCCCCCCCCCCCCCCCCCCCCCCCCCCCCGCAGCCUCUUCAUCCUGUCCAACGAGACGGUCAACAUCUGGAGCCAUCUGCUGGGCUUCGCGCUCUUCUUCCUCGUCGGCGUGUACAACAUGGCGUCGGUGCUGCCGGCCAUGGGCGCCUCCAAAGAGGACUACGUCAUCUACUCCAUCGGACUCUUCUGCUUCCAGCUGUGCAUGCUGUGCUCGGUGGGCUAUCACCUGUUCUGCUGCCACCGCUCGGAGAAGACCAGCCGCCGCUGGAUGGCACUGGACUACUCGGGCGUCUCCAUCGGCAUCCUGGGCUGCUACGUCCCCGGAGUCUUCUACACCUUCUACUGCAACAACGUGAGUCCGACGGCGGCACAUUCACAUCCCUUAUUCAUGCUCCUGAAUUCAAUCAGACUGCAGAUUCUUUGAUUUCUUACAAGAUUGGUGUAAAUAAAAUACUGCAGCUUAUAAUGUGCUUCACACCGAUUCCACAUGUAGUCAGUGAGGCUCAACAAAAGAAGACUUGUGAAACCCAAAUACAGAAAAAGCCCAAACUGCUCCGGGUUCACUUCCUGCUCAAACCUCACUUACUCACCCGUUACAUCGGUAACAACUUAUAAAACGCUCAAACCUUUGGUUUCACUUAAUGAAAUGUUGUUAAAUAAAAAACCCUUCUUCUGGUAUGUGGAGCGUGUUGUUGCUCCUGGGGGGCUUUACUUACUGAUUUACAGUUUAUUAAACUUGACCCGUCCAGCUUUUUCUUCU